rnacentral:rRNA from 1 species
CGCGUAGGCGGUUUCUUAAGUGAGAUGUGCAAUCCCCGAGCUUAACUUGGGAACUGCAUCUCAGACUGGGAGGCUAGAGUGCUGGAGAGGGUGGUAGAAUUCCACGUGUAGCGGUGAAAUGCGUAGAGAUGUGGAGGAAUACCAGUGGCGAAGGCGGCCACCUGGACAGUAACUGACGCUGAGGCGCGAAAGUGUGGGUAGCAAACAGGAUUAGAUACCCUGGUAGUCCACGCUGUAAACGAUGAACACUUGGUGUGGUGGGAGUUGACCCCUGCCGUGCCGUAGCUAACGCGAUAAGUGUUCCGCCUGGGGAGUAUGGUCGCAAGGCUGAA